AGCUCGUUGGCUAGGGUAUGAUUCUUGCUUUGGGUGCAAGAGGUCCCGGGUUCAAAUCCUGGACGAGCCC
rnacentral:tRNA from 1 species